AAGUAAUACGAGCGCCUUGGAGUAGCCUUUAUACUGGCUGUGGGAAAACAGACCUCGCCAUCGCCAUGGCGUACGAUCCCAAGGACGACGUCGAUCGACUCUUCGCUUGCUUCAAGUGCGGAAUCUCCACUCCCGAAUCCGCACUGAAAGAAAGGAAAUCACGGCUGGAGAGAUCCAAGAGAGCGAGCUUGGUGGAAGGGGGAGCCUCAUUGGUUGCCAAAGUGGUGAGACCGACCUCAUCUAGGCAGGAAGAGCGGGUUUCACCUAAUAAAGAGGAGCCUGUUGUAUCAACAUCUGUUGCAAUUAAAUCUAAUAAAAGCAAGCAGAUCUCUCCAAUUGUCUUUUAUGGUUCCCCACAUGGUGCUCCAGUAAAAAAGCCAUCACAGUUAUUGCGAUUAUUACGUGAAAUUCAUGUCGAUCUCAGAGAGCAGAAUAGUCUGAUCCCCAGGAAGGAGGUCUGGGCAACUUUUCCUAGACAAGAUGAGGCAAUGAGAUUCUGGAAAACACAUGCACAUGCUAGUGUGUUUAGUUAUCAAGAUCACUUGAGCGGGCAAAGACGAUUCCUUGUGUCUACAUAUGAUGAGUUAUGGGGAAGGUACAAAAACAUGGAUUCCAAAUUACACCACCAUUAUGAAGUUAUUCAAGAGGGUGCUCCUUGCCACUUGUAUUUUGAUCUGGAAUUUGACAAGAAAAUCAACAAUGAUAGAAAUGUAGAUGAAAUGGUAGACACCUUGAUAUUUGUCACUUAUAAAGUCUUAUUUGACAAAUACUCUAUACAAGGAAAUGAAGAAUGGGUGGUAGAGCUUGAUUCAUCUACCAAAGAAAAAUUUUCACGUCAUUUGAUCAUCCGCAUUCCAAAGACUGCCUUUAAGGACAACUCACAUGUUGGUGCAUUUGUUUCAGAGGUAUGUUCACAUAUUGCAAGUUUACGGGGAAGUGAUCCACAGCUUGACAAAUUGUACAUUAGGAAAGACACAAGCUGUCCUGAAUCCUCAUGUCAGCUUUUUUUGGACAAUGCUGUUUAUUCUCGAAAUCGUUGUUUCCGUCUAGCUUUCUCUUCCAAAGCUGGAAAAACUUCUUUUCUGAUGCCCACUGGACGUUUCAAAUGUAAGAAUAUGAGUGAGCAGCAGGUGUUUAUGGAAUCCCUCAUCUGCAGAAUGGAUGUCGAUUGUGAAAAACUUCUAAAAUGCAAAAUGGAUUUAGAUUGCAACAAAAUCUUGUACUUUGAUUCUGAGGCUCGUGAAACUAAUUCAAAUCCCCAACAAACUGUUUUAUUCAAUACUUAUAGAAGUGAUUUUCCAAGCACAUACUUCUCAGGAAAGUCGCCAUUUCCAGCUUUGGAUGCAUUUGUGGAAUCUAUUGCCUCUAUUGGAAAUGUUCCAGGAAGAAUUCGGAGUUGGUAUUGGUUUUCAGUAUGUGGUUUGAUGGUCUAUAAUAUGUCAAAGAGUAGAUAUUGUGAGCGGAUUGGAAGAGAACAUAAAAGCAAUCAUGAUUACAUUCCUUAUCAAAAUAAGGCUGAAUCAAGCUAGAUUUGUGACUGGUCAAGGUUGCCAUUAUUACAACUCUUCGCCCCUUCGAGAUACCUUGUCUUCAAGGUGAAUAUCAAGAAAGCGAAGGGUGAGAUCAUCAUGGUCCUCCCAAGUCGCUUCUUCUCUUGUGCCAUCCCUCUAAGAAACAAGAAUCCCUGUUCGGAGAUGACUAUCGACAUGAUGGUGACGGUGAUCCAACACUUCCAUUGGAAUAUGUGGUCGAUCUUCAACCAAUUCAGGAGGCAAAGUACAAGUGGUGGGAGGUUCUUCUCGGAAGGACUUUAGUUUGGAAACAUGGAAAACAUCGUGAAUACGGGCCCCAGAAGGAAGCUUCCAUCUAUAAGUCGCAGGUCCUAUUUUUUCUAUCACCUCGGAGGAACUAUAGAAAGUAGGGGACAGCUUGGACUAAAAAGAACUCUUGGUAGAUGCUUGUUGGUAUCUCGGUAGUUGGAGAAGAAUAUGGUCACCAAUAGAGAACUCCCUCUCCUUGUGCCGCCGAUUAUAAUAUUGCUUCAUGCUAUUUUGGACAGCUGCUAAGUGUUGCUUUAAAGUCUUCAAGUGCUCAUCUCUUUUAGUUCACUCAGCAUCUACCAUCUCAACUCUUGUAGCCCCUCUCUGUCCACGGCCAUGAUCAUAAGGAUUUCGGUCGUCAUCAUCUUGUUGACGUAGAACCUCAUGGUGGGCUGCUGGUAUCUUUGUCUAAGUAAAAGUUGAAAGCCGUGGAAGUAUGAAACCAACCCUUUGCUAUCCUAAAACAGCAGUAGACUGGCCAGCCUUAAUGGUAAAGGUGGUCGGUCUAUAGUCCUCCAAGUAUUCAUCAUCAUACUUCUUACCAAUGUAUGGAUCUUGCGAGGGUAGUGCAUAGAUGAAGAUGAGCUAUUUAUGCAAACCUUUGGAUUGCUGGUUUGCUGAAAGAAAAUCCCCAAAAUUAGAAACAAGGUGUUUCUUAUCAUGUCCCAACACUAUUCCUUGGCCAUAAGGCGCAUCGGUUAUGUGGGGCUGCACUGAAGUGCCUCUCCUACCUGUAAAGGGGUCGGUGACUUGUGGGAACACCAUAUCUUUUUCUCUGAUAAAAAUAAGGGACACCGCAACCCUAUUUUUGUUCGAAACAUUGUGCGUGGGUGAGGGAUCCGGUUGAAGUAUGCCACAUCGGGGCCGAAGGCGUUGUUUGUGUGACGCUAUCAGGCACAGGAGAGUAGAGUUUGAAGAAUCUUUGGUUAUCUUCAACUUUCUCUAGCCACCACGUUAAGGCAUUGAUGGAGGAUAAUAUCUUUUGGAGAGAUUGUUCGAUCGAUAGAGCUUGAGUGCCUUCAAUUUUGGCAUUAUUUUUCUUCAUCAUAGGUUUAGAUGUCGGAGAAGUCGUCAUGAACAUCGAAGAAGAAAUCAGCAAAAAGAGUGAAUCAUUGUUGGGCUCUGAUACCAAAUUGUUAGGAUUUAUACUUUUCUAACAAGAGUCUCUCUAAUUCGGGGAUGAGAAGGGCUCCGAAGGCAAUAACAUUAAUGCUGAAAAUUAAAGAAAUCAGAGAAGAAUAGCAAUCCCUGUCCUUUAAGGGUGGCUGGCCAGGCUUAUUUAUUAAUCUAGCUAGUGCCUUCUAUACUAGCUAGAUUAGUAAGGAAAUGAAGAGAAAAAUAAUAGUCAUGUACAUUGUUGAUUUCCAAAGGCCUGGCUAUUAUCAGAAAUGCUAUGACCCUGAUUGUAGAGGUUACCGUUCUCCAUUGCGUCCAGUACCAUGGGAUCUGAUUCCUGACAGUAGGGCACUAUUCAGUUCAGUAAAUACAGAAAAUUGCAGGGAGAUUAUGGACAUAGGUUUUGAUACUCAGUUUGAUGGAAAUAACAUGGAAAACAAUUCGUGCGAUAAUGG